UGUAAAGAAAGAAAGAAAGAAAAAAAAGAGAGAGAAAGAGAGAAAAGAGAGAGGGAGAAAUAUGUUGGCUGGUGCUUUUCGAUUAUCUUCUUCUUC
rnacentral:ribozyme from 1 species